GGGCUUGUACCGGUUUCGACGGGGGUUUGGAAAUUAGGAUAGCCAUCUGUGAUUCGGUAUCACAUAAAACAACCGAAACUUAAAAUUAAACGCAAACGAUAGAUAUUCGUUAGCAGCAGCCUAGUCUGCCGCUUGUCGGCCUUAGAUAACUCGCGAUCUGAGAAUCCGGCAUCAAAUGAGCGAGGCACUUUGUCUCCAAAGCUUUGAGGGGAUAAAAGAACUUAUGAAGCUACUGAAGUACAGAGCCUGUCAUCCGGCGCUGCACAGAGGGAAUGUCAAAUGAAUGACUGUGAUGGGAGAAUUCUUAAUGAAAGGGCUUUCGGACGCGGGUUCAACUCCCGCCAGGUCCAUCU
rnacentral:tmRNA from 1 species